ensembl:lncRNA
UCCCAAGAUUCUCAGAAAGCUUCUUCUUCUUUUUUGUUUAACUCUUUAUGUAGUGACAAGAUGGAGCUGAUUAAAAGAAGACAAGCAAAGUCUCAGUGCCAGACCACUUCAGAGAUGAAGCAUUCCAGAAAGGCAUGUAAGAACUCCUGUCAGAAACAGGGAGGAUUUCACAGCCCCUCUUGCAUAUUAAUGAACUACAAGGAACCUCAGUGUAGUGGUGCAGAUGCAACAUUUCAGGAGCCGUGCCAGGAUUCCGCGAUAAAUACCAGCUCCAGGGGAAAUACAUUUCGUGAUAGAAUUAGGGGAUCAGCCAUCUGAGACGUCCACAGAAACCACCCCCCGCCCCAUCUUUCAAAACUCAAGGCGGGUUCGGGGGGAGCUGGUGGUGCGGUGGAUGUGGGGUGGAUGGGGCUAUUUACUGGAGUCCAGUUCCUGUACAUUCGCUCCAUCUUCAACUCUUCUGAUGCUGCAUAUGUCCUCAAGCAACAAAUCCACCAGCCUAAAGGUCGAGUUCAGCCUCUCAGGUUUUUGACAAAGAAGAAGAGCAAUGUGAAGAGAGAGGAUGGAAGUCGUGCCUUAAUGGAGUCACGCCCUGCUCAAGAUCAGGCACUCAAACUCCUACACUACAGUCCUAUCUCUGUGCCGCCUUUCAUGGCCUUUUCUCAUCCCUCAGCGCACACAGCACUGAGGAACCCAUUCUCAAAUGCUGACCAGUCCUACACUGCUUUCGAUAAAGGUAGAGUAGUUGGCUACAGCAGAAGCCCCUCAAGCUGCUGUCUUUUGUACUUUCAUAGAACUUUUCUGAUAUGGCCACUUGGAACUGAAAUGGAAAAAAAUGACAUCUUUCUUCAGGGAAUUCUUGAUGGACAUCUUCCUUUUCGGUGGGUAUUGGGUGAAAACAUAUUGAUUGCUUAACUGAAAUAAGAGGAUGAAACAGAUGUUCAUUUCAAGCUCUAGGCUGAUCCUAAUGUCUGUAAAUGUGUCAUUCUGAUAUAUGAAUGUGAGUCCUGCAAGACUUGAUCAUGAGAAAAUAGGAGCCCCAGGAUUCACCUCCAUGAACUUGGUUCACCCUCAUCCAAUUCUGUUGAAGACAGACCUAAAAAACAACUAACAAGGGGUGGGCACAGCCACCUGAAGAUGCCGUCCACGACGAUGUCACCGUGUUGAGUUUGCCACAGUCUUCAGCCUCUCAUGUCUAUCAACUGGGUUUUCUUCCACUGAAAGUACGUGUAUUUUCAGGAGGAAGACUCGCCCUCACCAUGCUAAGCAGAUACUGAUAUACUAACUAAUAAAAUUAGAAUCCUUCUUUAUUAACUUAUAUUU